rnacentral:rRNA from 1 species
UACGUAGGUGGCAAGCGUUGUCCGGAAUUAUUGGGCGUAAAGCGCGCGCAGGCGGUCCUUUAAGUCUGAUGUGAAAGCCCACGGCUCAACUGUGGAGGGUCAUUGGAAACUGGAGGACUUGAGUACAGAAGAGGAAAGCGGAAUUCCACGUGUAGCGGUGAAAUGCGUAGAGAUGUGGAGGAACACCAGUGGCGAAGGCGGCUUUCUGGUCUGUAACUGACGCUGAGGCGCGAAAGCGUGGGGAGCAAACAGG